rnacentral:rRNA from 1 species
GUACCGUCAAGCUCCCUCACGAGGGAGUGUUUCUUCCUGUACAAAAGCAGUUUACACACCAUAGAUGCUUCUUCCUGCACGCGGCAUGGCUGGAUCAGGCUUGCGCCCAUUGUCCAAUAUUCCUCACUGCUGCCUCCCGUAGGAGUA